AACGUAGGAGACAAACGUUAUCCGGAGUUACUGGGCGUAAAGGGCGUGUAGGCGGUAUGUUAAGUUCGGCGUGAAAGCCUCCGGCUAAACCGGGGGAGGUCGUCGGAAACUGGCAAACUAGAGGGUGGUAGAGGCGUGUGGAAUUCCGGGUGUAGUGGUGAAAUGCGUAGAGAUCCGGAGGAACACCAGUGGCGAAGGCGACACGCUGGGCCACACCUGACGCUGAAACGCGACAGCAUGGGGAGCGAACGGG
rnacentral:rRNA from 1 species